rnacentral:rRNA from 1 species
UGCAAGUCGAGCGGUAGAGAGAAGCUUGCUUCUCUUGAGAGCGGCGGACGGGUGAGUAAUGCCUAGGAAUCUGCCUGGUAGUGGGGGAUAACGCUCGGAAACGGACGCUAAUACCGCAUACGUCCUACGGGAGAAAGCAGGGGACCUUCGGGCCUUGCGCUAUCAGAUGAGCCUAGGUCGGAUUAGCUAGUUGGUGAGGUAAUGGCUCACCAAGGCGACGAUCCGUAACUGGUCUGAGAGGAUGAUCAGUCACACUGGAACUGAGACACGGUCCAGACUCCUACGGGAGGCAGCAGUGGGGAAUAUUGGACAAUGGGCGAAAGCCUGAUCCAGCCAUGCCGCGUGUGUGAAGAAGGUCUUCGGAUUGUAAAGCACUUUAAGUUGGGAGGAAGGGCAUUAACCUAAUACGUUGGUGUCUUGACGUUACCGACAGAAUAAGCACCGGCUAACUCUGUGCCAGCAGCCGCGGUAAUACAGAGGGUGCAAGCGUUAAUCGGAAUUACUGGGCGUAAAGCGUGCGCAGGCGGUUUUGUAAGUCUGACGUAAAAUCCCCGGGCUCAACCUGGGAAUUGCGUUGGAGACUGCAAGGCUAGAAUCUGGCAGAGGGGGGUAGAAUUCCACGUGUAGCAGUGAAAUGCGUAGAUAUGUGGAGGAACACCGAUGGCGAAGGCAGCCCCCUGGGCUAAGAUUGACGCUCAUGCACGAAAGCG